rnacentral:SRP_RNA from 1 species
GCUGGGCAUGGUGGCAUGCACCUAUAGUACCAGCUACUCAGGAGCUGAAGCGGGAGGAUCACUUGAGCCUAGGAGUUCUGGGCUGUGGUGUGCUAUGCCAAUCAGGUGUCUGCACUAAGUUUGACAUCAAUAUGGUGACCUCCGAGGAGCAAGGGACCACCAGGUUGCCUAAGGAGGGAUGAAUUGGCCCAGGUUGGAAACGGAGCAGGGCAGCACUCCCUUGCUGAUCAGCAGCCUGGGCAAUACAGCGAGACCCUGUCUCUA